AUAUCAAUAAGCGGAGGAAAAAAACCAACAGGGAUUACCCUAGUAACGGCGAGUGAAGCGGUAACAGCUCAAAUUUGAAAUCUGGUCUUCACGGGCCUGAGUUGUAAUUUGUAGAGGAUGUUUCGGGCAAGGCCUCGGCUUAAGUUUCUUGGAACAGAACGUCAUAGAGGGUGAGAGUCCCGUCUAGAGCCGUCGGCCGCGUCCAUGUGAAACUCCUUCGACGAGUCGAGUUGUUUGGGAAUGCAGCUCAAAAUGGGUGGUAAAUUUCAUCUAAAGCUAAAUAUUGGCCAGAGACCGAUAGCGCACAAGUAGAGUGAUCGAAAGAUGAAAAGCACUUUGAAAAGAGAGUUAAACAGUAUGUGAAAUUGUUGAAAGGGAAGCGCUGGCAACCAGACUUGUGUGUGACAGUUCCCCCGGUCUUUUGACCGGGUCAUUCUGUCAUAUCCAGGCCAGCAUCGGUUCGGGUGGUCGGUUAAAGGUUCUAGGAAUGUAUCUACCUCCAAGUGGACUUAUAGCCUAGGACGUCAUGCGGCCUACCUGGACCGAGGAACGCGCUCC
rnacentral:rRNA from 1 species